ACUAAUCAAGAAGAAUAAUAAAUAAGAAGUGAUUGUAACUAACUCUUAACAAACUUGAGAGAAAGAAGAUGAAAUCACCAACAAUCUUGGCACCAACCUUUGACACCAAGGAAGGGAUGCUGCCCACUUCUCUCUAAGAUCCAAAGAAGGGGAUGCCUAGAGAGAGAGGUUAUAAGCUAGAGAGAGAAAGAGGAGGAGAGGCAUUGGACACAAUAAGGGUGGUGGCAAGGAUGAGAGGAU
rnacentral:lncRNA from 1 species